UUCCGGUUGAUCCCGCCGGACCUGACUGCAAUCGGAUUGAUACUAAGCCAUGCGAGUCAUUGUAGCAAUACAAGGCAGACGGCUCAGUAACGCGUAGUCAACCUACCCUAUGGACGGGAAUAACCUCGGGAAACUGAGAAUAAUGCCCGAUAGAACACUAUGCCUGGAACGGUUUGUGUUCCAAAUGAUUUAUCGCCGUAGGAUGGGACUGCGGCCUAUCAGUUUGUUGGUGAGGUAAUGGCCCACCAAGACUAUUACAGGUACGGGCUCUGAGAGGAGUGGCCCGGAGAUGGGUACUGAGACACGGACCCAGGCCCUAUGGGGCGCAGCAGGCGAGAAAACUUUGCAAUGUGCGAAAGCACGACAAGGUUAAUCCGAGUGGUUUCUGCUAAAGGAACCUUUUGUCGGUCCUAGAAACACCGAUGAAUAAGGGGUGGGCAAGUUCUGGUGUCAGCCGCCGCGGUAAAACCAGCACCUCAAGUGGUCAGGAUGAUUAUUGGGCCUAAAGCAUCCGUAGCUUGCUUUGUUAGUUUUCGGUUAAAUCUGUGCGCUUAACGUACAGGCUGCCGGAAAUACUGCAAAGCUAGGGAGUGGGAGAGGUAGACGGUACUCGGUAGGAAGGGGUAAAAUCCUUUGAUCUAUUGAUGACCACCUGUGGCGAAGGCGGUCUACCAGAACACGUCCGACGGUGAGGGAUGAAAGCUGGGGGAGCAAACCGGAUUAGAUACCCGGGUAGUCCCAGCCGUAAACUAUGCAAACUCAGUGAUGCAUUGGCUUGUGGCCAAUGCAGUGCUGCAGGGAAGCCGUUAAGUUUGCCGCCUGGGAAGUACGUACGCAAGUAUGAAACUUAAAGGAAUUGGCGGGGGAGCACCACAAGGGGUGAAGCCUGCGGUUCAAUUGGAGUCAACGCCGGG
rnacentral:rRNA from 1 species